GCAGAUUCUUGCAGUGUUCACCUGCCCUGGGGGAUGGAAUGACUUGACAGGAUAUCUGCAUUACAAUUGAAAUAUUGUUCCUGCUGGGAGAAGACUUGAAUAUUUUUAUUUUUCAACAGUUCCUGCUGUGCUGUGGCAUUUACAGUCCAUCUGGGCUAACACCUUCAGCAGUUUCCUUCUCUGCUCAUCAGACUCUGGCCCAGCUGUGUGACAAGCACGUUAAUUCAUCACCAAGAUGUGGAGAAACUGAAUCAUGGAGAGAAAAGAUGGUGUCAGUUCACUUGUUAAGGCAGGUGGAAGGAGCAGCACUGAGAUCCUGGCUUGCUGAACUCUGUCUGGGAGACACAUCCUCUGAAUUGCCAGCUAUUCCUCAAAAUCUGAAGCAUGAAGUCUGUCCCUCUAUGCUUACCAGUUAUGCCUGGCUUGCUGAUCCAGUCUCCUAGAAGAACCAUCACUUGGUAUCUACACAGAAAAUUGAGCCAGAACUGGAGAAGACUGGAGCAGGUAUAUAUCACAUUAUCCUUGAUGCUGACAGGGUAGAGCCGACAGGGAAAACAUUUACCAUCUUUCCAAAAAUGAUUUCAUCCACUAAAAUUGUUUAUGGGUCUGGAAUAAAACCUGAAUUCACUUUGGAAGACCUAAUGCCUUCUCUGUCAUCAGCAACGGAGGCAGCCUCAGUGUAAACAUUCUCUUAUUGCAGUUAUUUUGUCCUGAAAGACUCCUUCAGAAGACUCUAAGUAUGGCUGGAGCUUCUGCUUACUUAGACAUGACCCAUUACAUCAGACUUCACUGACAUAUGCCUCUAAUAAGCCAAGAUGCAGAUAGUCUAAGAUGUUGCCAUACAAACCUGUUCUGCCUUUCCAGGAAGUGACUUUCCUUCAGCUGAACUGGUAGAUGAGAUCAAUACUUUUAUCUGUAUUAAGUGAGCAGAUUAACUUGCACUGCUAUGACAGUUAAUUUGAAGAACUGGUUAUGAUUUGAUCUAUGCCUCAGCAAUGUUUAUUAUUUCAAUUACUCAACAGCAUUACAAGUUUUGUCUUCAGCAGGGUAAGGCUAAAAACCCCUGCCUUAGCUAAGGGGGGAAAAU